CUAAGUGUUAAUUAGAAAGGAGAUUAGCAUCAAAAUCAUAGUAAAAAAGUUACUGCAGUAAAGCAUGGUAUGUCUAAAUCAUUUCCUAAUCCUAAAAAACUGCAGCAUUUCUGUAGUGCUGUUCAACUUUAUCCAUUUUUUUAUUGUCGUAAAACUUUCCUUUCUCUCUCUAGCUGCUAAUCUCCUUUCUAAUUAACACUUAGUUGUGUAUUGGGGGCUUUCUCUUUGCUGGAGAAUAGUCCAUAAUGUCCACAUAGUGAUAAUCGUGGUUCACCUCCUGGUGCUCAGAAGCUGGCGAAGAAUUAAUGGUGAAUUUCUCUUGUUCCCCACCUACUUCUUCAUUGCUUGAUCUGCCCUUUGAUGUCAUUGGGUUAGCUUUAUUUUCUUCUACAUUUUCCUCAUUCUUGGAGGUCGUGGUGGCGGGAGAAGGAGUAGAGGUGGUCACAGCAGUAAGUUUUCUAUUCAUUCCUGUACAAUGCCCUUCUUUGCAGAGAAUAACCUCUCCAAGAGCACCAUUACUUCUUUUUAUCAAAGAACUCUUGUCCUCAUGGAUCUUUUGAUGUCCAACUUGCAUAAAUUCCUUUUCCAAACGAAUCCCUUGAGCAUCAUGGAGAAGAAAGGACAAAAGCAGAAGAGAGACUAUUAAAGCAGGCCUCAUUUGGAGAAAAUAUUUGAG
rnacentral:misc_RNA from 1 species